AUGAGUGAGAACGCGGAAAUCGUAGCGGCGGCACCGCAGGCCGGAGAUCCGGCCAGGGCGGAAAUGUAUAAGGAAGAGGCGAACGAGUAUUUCAAGAAUCAAGUGUACGACAAAGCCAUCGAAUUGUAUACCAAAGCCAUAGAAUUAAACCCGUCGAUAGCCGUGUACUAUGGCAAUAGAAGUAUUGCUUAUUUGAGGACAGAAUGUUUUGGAUAUGCGUUGACAGAUGCGUCCAAAGCCAUUGAGUUAGAUAGAAAUUAUAUAAAGGGUUAUUAUCGCAGAGCUGCCGCUUAUAUGUCUCUGGGCAAGUUCAAGUUGGCACUUACAGAUUACAGAACUGUUGUGAGGGCUAAGCCAAAUGACAAAGAUGCUAUAGCCAGAUGUACGGAAUGUUCCAAGAUGGUUAAAAUGCUAGCAUUUCAAAAGGCUAUCUCUGUAGAGGAAAAGAAAAAUAUUGCUGACAUGAUCAAUCUGGAAGCUAUGACCAUCGAGGAUGAGUACACAGGGCCUAAAUUGGCUGAUGGCAAAGUUACUUUACAAUUUAUGCAAGAAUUACUAGAAUGGUAUAGAAAUCAAAAUAAAUUGCACCGUAAAUAUGCUUACAAGAUCCUGCUGGACGUUAAAUCAUGGUUUAUGGUACAACCUAGCUUAGUAGACAUCACAAUUCCUGAAGAUAGUAAAUUCACUAUUUGUGGUGAUAUACACGGACAAUAUUAUGACUUGCUUAAUAUAUUUAAGUUAAAUGGAUUACCAUCCGAAACUAAUCCAUAUUUAUUUAAUGGAGAUUUUGUAGAUAGAGGCUCUUUUUCUGUAGAAUGCAUAUUCACUUUAUUUGGUUUUAAAUUAUUAUACCCGAAUCACUUCUUUAUGUCAAGAGGUAACCAUGAGUCAGCAACGAUGAAUCAAAUGUACGGGUUUGAUGGUGAAGUGAAAGCUAAAUAUUCUACCCAAAUGGCAGAAUUGUUUACAGAAGUAUAUAACUGGCUUCCCCUGGCACACUGUCUUAAUAAUCGAGUGCUCGUGAUGCAUGGCGGAUUGUUCUCGCGAGAUGACGUGACAUUACAAGAGAUCAGGGAAAUUGAUAGAAACAGACAGCCACCUGAUGAGGGACUAAUGUGCGAGCUGUUGUGGUCAGAUCCACAACCGCAAAUAGGUAGAGCACCUAGCAAGAGAGGCGUAGGUGUUCAGUUCGGGCCUGACGUCACGCAAAAUUUCCUUACAACAAAUUCUCUCGAUUAUAUCGUGAGGAGUCACGAAGUCAAGAACGACGGAUACGAGGUUGGGCAUGAUGGGAAGUGUAUCACAGUAUUUUCCGCUCCAAAUUAUUGUGAUACCAUGGGUAACCAAGGUGCCUUUAUCACACUUAACGGUAAAGACAUGAAACCUUAUUUCACGUCGUACGAAGCAAUGCCUCAUCCAAAUGUAAGGCCGAUGGCUUACGCUAACUCUCUACUAAAGUUCAUGUGCUAGUGGAACACUCUCUAGGUAUUAUUGAUAACGACAACUGAACAUAUAUAUAUUAUAUAUAAGUAGCCCAAUCAAAGUGAACACAAUGAAUUUUUCUUAUAAAAUAUAUGCAAUGAGUGCAUAAUAUUGAUGGGUACAAAAGCGAGAAAGGUUUGCUUAUUUUUACAACAGGCAAACAGUUUUAUCGAGUUUCUUUAUCUAUGAUAAGAAAAACAACUCAUCAGACAUCACUAGAAAUUUGUGUUCGUUUAUAAUAAAAUAACGCGCAAAUAACGUU